rnacentral:rRNA from 1 species
GACGAACGCUGGCGGCGUGCCUAAUACAUGCAAGUCGAGCGGAGUUAUGAAGAAGCUUGCUUCAGAUUAACUUAGCGGCGGACGGGUGAGUAACACGUAGGCAACCUACCUCUUAGACUGGGAUAACUACCGGAAACGGUAGCUAAUACCGGAUAAUUCCUUAGCUCUCCUGAGCUUGGGAUGAAAGGCGGAGUAAUCUGCUACUUGGAGAUGGGCCUGCGGCGCAUUAGCUAGUUGGUGAGGUAAUGGCUCACCAAGGCGACGAUGCGUAGCCGACCUGAGAGGGUGAACGGCCACACUGGGACUGAGACACGGCCCAGACUCCUACGGGAGGCAGCAGUAGGGAAUCUUCCGCAAUGGGCGAAAGCCUGACGGAGCAACGCCGCGUGAGUGAUGAAGGUUUUCGGAUCGUAAAGCUCUGUUGCCAGGGAAGAACGUCCGGUAGAGUAACUGCUACCGGAGUGACGGUACCUGAGAAGAAAGCCCCGGCUAACUACGUGCCAGCAGCCGCAGUAAAAC